AAAAAAUAAGUAAAAUUUCUAACUUUUAACGAUGAAAUAAUCUAGUAUAUCAAGUAGUAUAAAAUCUUAUUAAAAGACUCUAGAAGAGCAUAUACAUUGUUUUCUAUGGGAAUACAAAAUUAAAAUCAUCGAUGCGGUAUAGUUCUCCAAAUUUUAAAGUUAAUAUGAUGAGAUAUAAAAUACAUUAUGAUUCUAGAGUGGAAUUCAAUACGAGAUGGAUGAACUUGAAGUUUCAUCAUCUCGAGGAGGAGAAGUAAUAAAUGGAUAAUACGUGACAUAUCCAGAAGAUUAUGUUCAAUCUUUGACUACUAAAGAUCUAAAAGUUGUAUAAAGCAACUCUUAUAUGAAUGUGUUAUUAGAAGCAAGUUAUAAUUAGUUAUUACUAAAACUUCAAGACUUGAAGUCUCUUUGUGAAUAUAACUCACAUUGUUAAGAGAAUAUCUCUGAUGCGGAGAUGGUAAAACAAACGCUUAAACUUUUACGCAAGUAUUGUUGUCCUGUAGACACAGUAUUUUGAAAAACAAUUUAAGAACUAUUAUGAAUCGAGUGUUUUUUCAAAGGCUGAGAAAAUAUAUGAGUUAUUUGAUGAUAAGUAAUACUCAUAUUCUGAAGUGAAUAUAAGAUCUUACAUAGCUAGUCAAAAUUAAAUUU
rnacentral:sRNA from 1 species